GCUCUGUGGAUCAGUGGCGAACGGGUGAGUAACACGUGAGCAACCUGCCCCUGACUCUGGGAUAAGCGCUGGAAACGGCGUCUAAUACUGGAUAUGAGCUGCGAUCGCAUGGUCAGCAGUUGGAAAGAUUUUUCGGUCUGGGAUGGGCUCACGGCCUAUCAGCUUGUUGGUGAGGUAAUGGCUCACCAAGGCGUCGACGGGUAGCCGGCCUGAGAGGGUGACCGGCCACACUGGGACUGAGACACGGCCCAGACUCCUACGGGAGGCAGCAGUGGGGAAUAUUGCACAAUGGGCGAAAGCCUGAUGCAGCAACGCCGCGUGAGGGAUGACGGCCUUCGGGUUGUAAACCUCUUUUAGCAGGGAAGAAGCGAAAGUGACGGUACCUGCAGAAAAAGCGCCGGCUAACUACGUGCCAGCAGCCGCGGUAAUACGUAGGGCGCAAGCGUUAUCCGGAAUUAUUGGGCGUAAAGAGCUCGUAGGCGGUUUGUCGCGUCUGCUGUGAAAUCCCGAGGCUCAACCUCGGGUCUGCAGUGGGUACGGGCAGACUAGAGUGCGGUAGGGGAGAUUGGAAUUCCUGGUGUAGCGGUGGAAUGCGCAGAUAUCAGGAGGAACACCGAUGGCGAAGGCAGAUCUCUGGGCCGUUACUGACGCUGAGGAGCGAAAGGGUGGGGAGCAAACAGGCUUAGAUACCCUGGUAGUCCACCCCGUAAACGUUGGGAACUAGUUGUGGGGUCCAUUCCACGGAUUCCGUGACGCAGCUAACG
rnacentral:rRNA from 1 species